ensembl:lncRNA
GUCAGUGUGAGGUCAGUCAGAGGGCAGUGUGAGGUCAGUCCGAGUUCAGUGUGCAAUCAGUCUGAGGUCAGAGGUCAGUGUGAGGUCAGUCAGAGGUCAGUGUCUGAUCAGUCUGAGGUCAGUCAGAGGUCAGUGUGCAAUUAGUCUGAGGUCAGAGGUCAGUGUGAGGUCAGUCCGAGGUCAGCGUGCGAUCAGUCUGAGGUCAGUGUGAGGUCACAUGGCGUGUGUCUGAUCAUCAUGUUUGUGGAUAAAGCUGAAUGUAUUGACUGUGUGUUUCACUGAAUUCGCUGAACUGACCGGCAGCUUGACUUUUAAAGUCGUGUCUGGUUUGCGUUUCUCUUACUUUCACUGAGAUGUUUGGGGGAUUGUUUUACUCUCUCAGUAGUUUA